GUGGAAAUAGCACAAUCUUUCCUGAAUGGGGCCUCCUUUGUGUGUUUAAAAAAAGAAAAGAAAAAAAGGAAUGUUCUUGAAGGAAGGAUUGAGGAUCUGCUAUAAUAACUACAAUACAAAUCACUCUGACCUUUAAAAUCACAAAACCAUUUGUGGAUGCUUUGUAAGGAAAAAAAUUCCAGCUGCAAACCCCCCUACAUGCAUCAAUAAAUUAGGUACUGGAUCAUUUCAGAUAAUUUAUUUUAUAUGAGUUAGUCUACAAUCCCAGUCUGCAUUAUAAUACUGGAUUCAAUUUCUGUAGGAUUUGUUUUUGUUUUUUGCUACUGCAAAAAGCACUGGAUCCCUUCAAGGAAUGGACAUGGCAUUGCUUGAAGAGAAAUCAAGCAGUUUUGCAUCUAAA